GCUAUAACUGUAGCCUACUGAAUAACUGAACUUCCCCCAAAGUUCAAGGUCUUCAGCUAAGCUCAUCAGACUAAAACUGAGUCACAUAACUGGGAAGGGUAGUCCCUUAUGCCUAACCUAAACCCCAUUACAAAAUACAAUAAAAUGUGUUACCUGAUGUAACAAAGAGUUCUUAGUGUAAACUAGCUCUUGCCCCUUUUCUACUUAAAAACAGAGAUCCCACUAUAAUAAAAGAGGCUUCUGUAUAAUCAAGGCCACCGAGUAUCUAUGGUAUGCACUACGGAAAUCAGGCACACCCUUCUGCUUCAAUAUAAACUAGGACUCAAGAUAACUCAAAUCCAAGCUUCUGGAGGUGCUGAGGAGUCCAAGGAAGCAGGACAGACAGAGAUUCAGAAAAUUCACAAAUGGGGCAGACUAUUUACCUACUAACAAUAAGGACCGGAGGCAGUGGGUGGCUGUGAACAUACCCCACAGCAACACUGAAAAUGAGAAACGGACAGAGCCUGGUUUGGGGAGCUUUUGGAAGAAUUUUUCAAUGACAAUGUCCGCAACAUAAAGCAACGGUUUGUGUCCGUUAAAUCAAUUUCUUGUUUUAAAGAAAGAUUUUACGCUACCUAUGGUAAAUAAAUGGCUUGCCUUUCAAUGUUUAAAAAUGAGAACAGACUGGCCUCCACAUGUUAAGUAAAACAUUUACUCACAAAUAGAAAUUUUAAAAGUUAUUUAGCAUUCAAAAAAGGUGAGGGAAAAGAAAACAGAAACAUCAUAAAAACCCCACAGGCGGGUAGGGAGGGGUGUGCAAUGGGGUGUGGGGAGCAGGUCCUAGGUCAAAGGAAAGCACAUGUGAAUCGUCUGAAAGACACACCAGAGCAGAAACUUUUAUCCAGCUACUUCGGCAGCUAUUUUUCAAUAUAGGAUGGGUUUUGGUGACUGCACACCUACAACACACAGUGUUAUAUAACAUGGAAUAAGCUCGCUCAAAAAAAAAAAUUCAGAAAAAUCUUCCUGAGCAACUGUGUUAGAAAAUGGUUUUGAAAAGCUCCAGUUACACGUACCCUUUCUACUACCAACAUCAAAACAGGCUUUUUUAAAAAAGUCAGUUCUGUUUAGUAUACCUACACAGCCCAGCAGAGCAUAAUAAAGGGUGGAACCUACUCAAGACAAAUCCUUCAAAAUAUUCUAUAUUUGUAAAAGGCUGGUUUUCUCAAACGGCAGUUUGCCCAUUUGAUUCAAGUGACAUGGGCGAGCUUGCCUACCCUACAUUCCAAAGUCCAGCAGCAAACCAAAAUAUGUUCCACAAGUAAAGUUUGAUCCACCACUUCUAGUAAACACUUGGUUUACUGGAGUGGGGUGAGCGUGGUGCUUCUCAAACGAAGGGAAGGAAGGUGAAUGCGGAACAAAAGUAAAAAAUAUCAUGUCGCCAGGUCCCCAGCAAUAAAUCAACUGUACAAGCUCCGAGCAGGCCUCACAAGUUGUCCUCA
rnacentral:lncRNA from 1 species